rnacentral:rRNA from 1 species
UACAGAGGGUGCGAGCGUUAAUCGGAAUUACUGGGCGUAAAGCGUGCGUAGAUGGUUUUGUCAGUCUGCUGUCAAAGCACAGGGCUUAACCCUGUAAAGGCAGUGGAAACUACAAGACUAGAGUGCAGUAGGGGCAGAGGGAAUUCCCAGUGUAGCGGUGAAAUGCGUAGAGAUUGGGAAGAACACCCGUGGCGAAAGCGCUCUGCUGGACUGCAACUGACAUUGAGGGACGAAAGCUAGGGGAGCGAAUGGG